GACGAACGCUGGCGGCGUGCUUAACACAUGCAAGUCGAGCGAGGCACUUAAGUUCGAUUCUUCGGAUGAAGACUUUUGUGACUGAGCGGCGGACGGGUGAGUAACGCGUGGGUAACCUGCCUCAUACAGGGGGAUAACAGUUAGAAAUGGCUGCUGAUACCGCAUAAGACCACAGUACUGCAUGGUACAGUGGUAAAAACUCCGGUGGUAUGAGAUGGACCCGCGUCUGAUUAGGUAGUUGGUGAGGUAACGGCCCACCAAGCCGACGAUCAGUAGCCGACCUGAGAGGGUGACCGGCCACAUUGGGACUGAGACACGGCCCAGACUCCUACGGGAGGCAGCAGUGGGGAAUAUUGCACAAUGGGCGAAAGCCUGAUGCAGCGACGCCGCGUGAAGGAUGAAGUAUUUCGGUAUGUAAACUUCUAUCAGCAGGGAAGAAAAUGACGGUACCUGACUAAGAAGCCCCGGCUAACUACGUGCCAGCCGCCGCCGUAA
rnacentral:rRNA from 1 species